rnacentral:rRNA from 1 species
CGGGUGGAGCACUACGGCAGUAGUACAGAGGGUCUGAUUAUGGCUCAGAUUGAACGCUGGCGGGAUGCUUCACAUGCAAGUCGAACGGCAGCACGGACUUCGGUCUGGUGGCGAGUGGCGAACGGGUGAGUAAUGUAUCGGAACGUGCCUAGUAGCGGGGGAUAACUACGCGAAAGCGUAGCUAAUAAUGGCCACAGCCCUCUUCGGGGAAAGCGGGGGACCUUCGGGCCUCGCACUAUUAGAGCGGCCGAUAUCGGAUUAGCUAGUUGGUGGGGUAACGGCUCACCAAGGCGACGAUCCGUAGCUGGUUUGAGAGGACGACCAGCCACACUGGGACUGAGACACGGCCCAGACUCCUACGGAGGCAGCAGUGGGGAAUUCUUGACAAUGGGGAAACCCUGAUCCAGCCAUCCCGCGUGCGAGCUAAAGGCCUUCGGGUUGUAAAGCACCUUGGUAGGAAGAAACGGCACGGAUAAUACCCGGCAACGACGGCGCCCCCGCAGAAUAAGCACCGGCUAACUACGUGCCAGCAGCCGCGGUAAUACGUGAAAAGGUGGGGCGUUAAUCGGAAUUACUAGCGUAAAGCGUAAGCAGGCGGUCUGAAAGAAAGAUGUGAAAUCCCAGAGCUUAACUUUGAACUGCAUUUUUAACUACCGAGCCAGGAGGUGUCAGAGGAGGUGGAAUUCCGCGUAAAGAGUAAAUGCGUAGAUAUGCGGAGGAACACCGAUGGCAGAAGGCAGCCUCCUGGGAUAACACUGACGCUCAUGCACGAAAGCGUGGGGAGCAAACAGGAUUAGAUACCCUGGUAGUCCACGCCCUAAACGAUGUCAACUAGCUGUUGGGGCUUUCGGGCCUGGUAGCGCAGCUAACGCGUGAAGUUGACCGCCUGGGAGAGCAUGGUCGCAAAAGAUUUAAACUCAAAGGAAUUGACGGGACCCCGCACAAGCGGUGAUGAUGUGGGGAUUAAUUCGACAACGAAAACCUUACCUACCCUUGACAUGUCUGGAAUCCCGAAGAGAUUUGGGAGUGCUCGCAAAGAGAACCGGAACACAGGUGCUGCAUGGCUGUCGUCAGCUCGUGUCGUGAGAUGUUGCUGUCCCGCAACGAGCGCAACCUGUCAUUAGUUGCCAUGAAAGGAAAAUUCUUCUAAUGACUGCCGGUGACAAACCGGAGGAAGGUGGGGAUGACGUCAAGUCCUCAUGCGCUCCAGGUAGGGCUUCAAGACGUCGUCAUACAAUGGCCGGACAGAGGGCCUGCCAACCCGCGAGGGGGAGCCGACCCAGAAACCCGAUCGUAGUCCGAUCACGCUCCUGCAACUCGACUGGCGUGAAGUUUGGAACUGUCAUAGUGGACUCUGAUCAGCACGGAAUGCGAAGAAUACGUCCUGGUCUGUAUACACCGCCCGUCACACCAUGAGUGGUUUUACCAGAAGUAGUUAGCCUAACCGGCAAGGAGUACGAGCCGAAUACUACUUGGGUAGGAUUCGAUGACUGGGGUGAAGUCAGAAUACAGU